GGCCCACUGGCGGCCUUUACACUUACAGCUGGUCAGCGGGGUGGGACAGGGUGGAAGCUAAAUGGCUGCUCUAAAACGCCUUGGUGUAAACAACCCGGGCAAGGACUUCCUUGAACUGCCAGUUACCUGAGUGCGAUCCAUCUCACUAAAGCGUCUGCCCCAAGAGGGGUACUAUCACCAGGAAAGAAAACAAAUAAAAGACACCCAGCAUGUCGCAGCACAGGCACAGGCUGGGGAAUGCUGUCCCCUUGAGGGGGUGAGGGUUCCUCAACAAGCUAUAGUAGUCAAGCUACAGUAUUUCAUCUAGACAGCAAACUACUCCAUAUUUCUUUGAGUUUUGAAAACCCCAUCUUCUGGCAACAAGUUCAUGAAAAAUCACGUGCUGAACACAAGCAAAUCACAGGUGGAAAAUGAAGACAGAAUGUUGCACCCAUACUGUUGUGCAAAAAAAUGCAAAUGUACCCACUGAAUAGAGUUAUAUACAUUGGAGCCAAGCCUUCUGGAAAAAAAAAUCUGAUUCAUACAUGCAAGAGGUCCAAUGUAGGACCCUGCUAUGUUGCAGGAGCUAUGGACCACGUGUUUUGGAAGAUGCUGUGCUACUAGCCAGAAAAUUUUCUUCCUAAUGGAGGCCCAGCUAACCACAGGAUCUGCUGCAGACCACAGACCCGCCAAGCACAAGUAAAGACAGCCCACUAGGUUGGAAUGCAGACCACAGCUUGGAAACCACUGGCUUAUGAAAUAAACAAGAUAAUAUUUUAACCUAUACUGUCAAACAUGCUUUUCUUGGAGGACUGUCAGGGCUCUGUGUAAGAAAUGGGGUCAUGUCUACAGGAUUGUCCCAGAAAGCUCAGUGGUAAUACAGUGAGCCCUGUUCUUCCAGAAACCAUCACAAACUUAGGCAAGUGGAAGAGAAUGGCAAUUUUUCAUCUACAAAGCCUGCAAAGAUAAUUCAGAUGUUACCACCAGGACUCCGGAGUUUUGCAUCAUCAAAACCUUCAUUAAAAACUAAAAUGUACACCAUUGUAUAAAAACCAGCACCUCAAACUAUGAUUUCACUUCACACAUGAAAAUGUCUCUCCAGAUGCGUCAGAGUCAGGACCAGUAUCAAGUCAAAAUUUAUCAUGCAUCUAAGUAUGAGAAAUUAGUUCUUAAUAUUUCAAUAUUAUGGGUUUGAGCAUUCAUAUGUGAACUUUUUGACAUUAAAGGUAAAGAAAGAAAAGGUUAUUAUAGAAAAUGGACUCAUUUCCUGAUGAAUCCAGAAUUACACAGUUUUGAAAGAUAAUAUUUAACCUUUGGAAAGGCCAAAAUCCUUCGGACUGAUGCAGAAGUUAUAAAGACAGAUCUUGCCAAAUGUAGAGUAAUUUUGAAGAAUUAUUCUUUUUCACAAUGCUAAUACAAAAAUCCUUGGACAUAAAACUGAGAACUCUGGAACAGGAAGGAGAAAUGAUAGAUGCUUUAAAAAACAAGUCUAUUUAGAAGCCAUUUGUCUGAAUUUUGUAACAUCCACUGACAAUAACAUGUUUUCAUCCCUGACUGUAUUUUAAAAGUUCAUUUCUUCAUGCACAGAAACCAGCAUAUUUAGCCUCUAAAAAUACCUGUUUUAAAAGUGGAUAGUGAUUGCUUGGUUCUGUAUUCUAUAAAAGAAAGGGAAAUAUAAAGAAGGACACUGAGAAAUAAUGCAAACAUAUACACAUAGGGCCACAUGUAUAAACCUGUUCAUACAGUUACAUUGAAAUUGAUUAACACAAUUGCGAAGAAGUAGAAUUAAUAAUGGAGUUUUUCCUUUUCUGCAAUAUCCCACUUCUAGUAUAUGGAACACUAUAUAUAUUUUCUUCUGCAGAUGGCAAAUAUGCUUCCUCUGAAACAGAAUUGCCUAUGUAGAGUUUCUGGUUUUUAGGGACAUCAAACACAAAUAAUCCUCUUAUUUAACUGAAUAACUUCUUUUUGAUCUUGUUGCUGUUGAAUGAUUAAACCAUGACAAAAGCUAAAGCACUACACAGCAGUAAUGUGAAAUCAAAUUCUGAAUUGUAAACUGCAAAAACUUGAGAUUUUCUAGGUGCUUGCAUUCAGGAUAUGUUGAGGAAAAUUCCACAAAAAUGAAGAAUAUCAUAACAGCAAAGAAAAUAAGGAGAGAAACAGGGAGGAAGGAAACAGCAAAUACUGAGAACAUCCAUAAAAUGCACCAACAGUUCCAAGCUUGGAAUGGGCUGUCACUGCACACGCAAUGAGGAAAUUUCAUUUAAAAGUUACAAAAAUGACCUUGCUUUGAACCAAGUGAAUGCGAUUAUUUCUGAACUGAAUGGAAAGUAAAGAAGUUUGGAUUAAAUGUUUUACCAGUGCCAAUGUCCCAGAACUUUCUUUGGCUCUAUAUUCUCUUUUCCUAUGUUUGUCUGCUGAAUUUAAUGUUCUCUUCUUUUUGUCUCCUGGUCUCUUUGACCUUAAUGUGACAUUUUAGUUGGGUGAUUAAUUACUAUUAAAUGGCACUGCAUUUAUAAAAUGGAGUCCUUGUCUGUGUAAGAGCACAGUCACAAUGCAACGAUUCAGUUUGAUAAGCUUAAAUAUACACAGUUAGAUGUGGUAAUAUCUAAUUUGUCAAGGAUCUUGUGGCUAGCUUUUCUGCCACACAGCUAGAGAGGAGAUGUGAUUGCACAAAAAGCUUAAUAUUCUGAGCUUAAAUGUUCUCAGUAAAUUGAUCUUCUCCAUCAUGUAAUCUUAUUUCAGAGUGUGCAGGAGACAGCAAAGUUCCACACAAGCCUAAGUUGCCUUAAUAAUAGGCCUGAGGGUUCCUGACCAUAGAAAUAAAAGCUAUGUGACAAGAUUUGUAUGUCUCUUUUCAGCAGACAACAGCUGACUCGCCUUGCCAGAAGCUUUGUUUCUGGGUUAAUUGAAUAAAAAUAAGAACUAAGGUCAGUAAAAGGAUGAAAAGUUCAUUGAGAAAGAAAAGAUACAUCUAUAGUUUGGACACCUAAGCCAGAAAGGGAUUGUGAAUAUUUAGCUUAGUAGGUGAAACACCAGCACCUAACCUUGGGUUGCAAGGUUAUUACAAGCCAGGUUAUUAUUCUGUCAGUUGUAUUCUCCAAACACUGCUUUACUCUUUGCUUAUCUUACAGCUGAUUAGGAAAUUUGUUUCAGACUACAAUGAAUCAUCACAGCAAAACUUGCAAGCAAAAGGUUGGUUUUAACAUCUGCUGGGGGAAAAAAAGUCAGGCUGGACAAAAUAAACAUGUGAGGGAGACUUUCACAAAAAGCUCAGCAGUUUUGGGUAUUCAUGGGAAAGACAGACAGCAGCUGGGCCUAGUUCUUGCCUGCUUCUUAUAUCAAUUCUUUUCCCCUCUGGUUAAACACAACUAGGCCAGCAAGAAGAACAACAGAAGUUUUUCUCAGGUUUAGCUCUCCUUCCUCAUGUCUUCCACUUCAAAAACAUUCAUUCUUGCUCCUACGUCUGCAGAGUCAAUUCCUAUCUUUAUAACUCUGUCCUACUCUACAAAAAACAAUUAGAAAUUAAAAUAAAAAGGUGAAACAGAUCAGGUUAUUAUAAGAAAUGAAGCCUUCAGUCUUAUCUCAAACCUGCAGAUAUGUGCUCACAGGGAAAACUGUAAAUGCUUCAAGAGAGGAGUCACCUCUUAUCUGAAUUUAGGGAUUUACAGAGAUCUUGCAGAGAUAUUGUGCAGUUGUCGCUGAUGUUUGGGCAUGCAUCUUCAGACCUUCUUUAAAUCUGAGAUGAAUACCUUCAUAUCAAGCACAGUGGGAAUCCAGAUGCAGACCUUCACCAGAGACACAUUUACACGGGGUCAGGGAACAGCUCCCACCUUUCUGCUGGAAAAGCAAGCCAUGAAACUAUAAUAUAGAGGCCUCCUCUUUGCAUGAAGAAGAGUCAAGCUGAACUCCAUGCACAAGGAGAUACUUGAGCUUGCGUGUUCUGCAGGUUGGCAGACACGGUGCCCUCUGGAGACGUAGAAAUGACCCUACCUCCAGGCCAAACAUCAGUAGUGAAGUGAAUCUAAAUGGACCAAGAAAGGCCAUAAUCUUGACUACCUCUAACAGGAUUAUAUUGUUGUCUUGGCUACUGAUGACAGUCUAAUGAUAAGAUUGCACAAGAAAAACAUUCUUACCAUUCUCAUUAAGGUUUAAUCAGCGCAUUCCCGGUUGCUCCUGCAUAGGUUUGGCCACCUCCGUCUUCCAUUAUCAGCAACAGGAGAUGAGGCACAUUCAUAUUCUCCAGAAUUUUAUGGGCUCAGGAUUACAAGCAGGAAGAUGCACCAGAUGCUGAAAUAUUAUCUCCACUAGAACAUUUAUGGCAUUUGAGACUAUUAAUAAAAUGUACACAGAGAAUUUACCAUCUGUGAAAGAAGUGGUAAGCAAAGGUUUACUUUAUUCACUCAAAACAUAAGAACAAGUUUCUACUGGUCAAAUCAUAAGACAUAUUACUUAGUAGAGAUUAAACUAAUAGCACAGUCUAACAUACAUUUCUCUCUAUAUGCAAAGAAUAAACCUCCAUAAAUCUAUAGCAGCAUCCAACUGCCGAUGAUAAUUUUCAAGUCAUAGUUUAAUGACCUCCUCUGUGCAGGCAAGCAGUCAGGGAAAUAACUGUAAAGAGCCUGUAAAAUGGAGAAGUAGAAUAUUAUUUGACAACACACCAGUAAUGGUUUCAAAUUACAAGCAAAUUUGAGCAGGGGAAAAAGUCUUCUCCCCCUUCUCCCAAAUAUAUCACAAUUUCCUUUAGAAGAAAAACAAGAGAAAUAAAUGCAUUGCUUGCUCUUUCUCAAAGGUAUAUCAAAUGCUGAUUAAUUCUAAGUCAUCUGAAUUGUAAUGCGACCAUCAGAGCAAAAUGUGGCUUUACAAUGCUUUCCUGUAACUCAAAGGGCAGUACAAAAGUGACUGUGUUGAAAGAAUUAUAGCCAAGGACAUAACUGUAAUGAAGUAUUAUCACAGACAUAUUAUCAAAAUAUCAAACUCUACACAUGUCAACAGUCACCCAACGUGAUUAGAGGCAGAUCUGGUUUUCAGUUUAGGUGAAAGUAGGCAGUUGUUUACGUUGGCAGAUCACGGGGGAAAGGGAGGAAAUGAAAUGCCCCUAUACAGGGUGCCAUGGCCUCAUGGCCUGUUGUGAGGACCCUGAGAGAAAGACAGGCGGGGACAGGAGCCGUGCGCCCCACCACCAUCAGAUCAGCUCAGAGAGGGAGCAGAAGGUUAAUGCUUCCCUGCCCACCAGUUCCUAGUAAAUCUGCUCCCUCCCAAUAAAUCCCUGCUUUAUUUCUCCAAUCCUUCAUGUUUACCUCCGGGGAUGGGGCAGGAAACAAAACAAACCCUCUGCCCACCACCACCUCCAGAUUGGCCGUAGCUCCCUGGAGGCCACCGCCAAUUCCUUUCAAUCCCCUUCCCUGCCAGCUGCCACCAACCCAGCAAAGGGUCCCCAAGCCUGGUGACCCGCUCCCAAAUUUCUGUCUUCUCACAGAAACUGCCAUAGUGCUGCCAGGCUUUGCCCACAGUUUUUUUCCAUCUUUUGCACUGUGGCUUCUUGGAAGGCCUUGCCUACAAGCCUGGGUGUUGAUUCACCAAGAAGGCAGUAUUAAAUUGAAACACACCAACCAUUAAGCAUGGCUAAAGGUGAGCAUGUCAAGGAAAGGCAGUGUCUGCUGUCAGAUUACAACCCUUUUGAACUGCAGCCUUAUACAACUGUCCUCUAUGCCUAUUAUUUAUGAGGUGAACUGAGGAUAUGACAGCCUCGUCUGCUGAUGUGACAGAAAAAGCACAUUGUUCGCUUUGAACCUUGCAGAAACGUGGAAAGCUUUCUUGCACUCCUUUCAGCAUAGAAAGAACCAUAUUGACUUGUAAUAGCUUCUGUUUAUGCAGUGCAAUGAGCUGAGGUCAGUGGGAAAGUGUCAGCUGCAGCGUAUGACUUUGCUUUCACUGCAUCAUGGAACUUGGCACGGCCUCGCAGCGACAGAUAACAAACUGCAUUCUAUAGCUUUCAAAACCCUCAAAGGAUAUGUGGCUGGGAAAGGCUUGCAAAUGCCUUCUCUUGAUUAAUAGUCACACAACUGAAGUGAUCAUAACUUAGUCCUAGCAAGGAGAUGUACUUCUUUCCAGCAGCAGUAAAGAAAGACACAAAAGCUCUCAAACCUACACAAUAUAAAGAAAUUGUCUUUAAAGAAAUUCACAGUCAUCAUGCCAGACACUAAAUGAAUUAUUUCUCUCAUUUCUUGUCUCACCACAGUUUCCUCCCACUUGGACACACAUGUUAAGCAUUCAGUUAACCUCAAGCAUAGCUCUCCUGGCCCUAUCACUGUAUCUGCACUCCCCAUCAGGAGGGUAUGCUGGCCUACAUUUUUGCAAUGUAAAAAGAGUGACAUAAUUUUUUUCUUAAAGUAGCUUGUCUGUAAGAACACUUCAGCUGUGCUCAGCUCGGCUCAGUCCCAGAAUAUGCUUGUUCCUGUGCACUUUCCUGUCCUGUGCUCAGCACAGUGUUCAGAGCUGCUGUGCCUCACGGCUCUGCGCUCUAUACCCCGUUCUGAACCUCUCAGCUGCAUUUGCUUCCCCAUCUAUAACUUUCAUCGACCUCCUGCUCUUGCACUGCACUUCCUGGGAAGUGUUUUGUUCAUGGACCCAGUGGAGGAAUAUGUUAUGACAAUGAAGUUUUAAGGAAAGCUUUUUGUUUUGUUGUGUCAUGAACUUUAUCCAUCCAAUUUUGUCAUCUGGUGGUUUUCCUUUCUUGUUCUAGCACAUAUUUCAUUGCUAAAGCUAUUUCACAAGCAGCCUUGCAAGUCAAUCCUUUUUCAGAUAACAAUUUUUUUCAGCUGAUCCACCUUCCUAUGUACUUCCAAAUCCAUCAAAGAGUACUUUAUUUGGCUACAGUCCUGCAUUACAUACUGGAAUAUUUAUAGAAUAAGUUACAGUGCCAUGAUACUCUGAAUGAAUCACAGAAUUUUUAAAUUAUUUGUUAUUUUCUUUCCAAUUAGAAAAUUCAGCUUGGGAUAGUAACACUGAAUUAACUGUGUAGAAACAAAAAGCUAAUAAACCUCACAUUACACUGGACCUUCAUUUGGGAAAGAGUUACUUUUAUUUCUUCAAGAAAAAUUGAAUUUUGAAUUGUUUGAUCACUUUUUAGAUCUAAUCAGUAGCUGCUUCUGAUGUUUUAGACAUUUAAGAGAAUAUGUUAUGAAAAUUAAAAUAGUAUUAAUUUCUCCUUACAGAGCCUCUGUUUGCUUUUCAGAAUCCCAUGCUACAAAGUGCCAUCAUUCUGAUUUCACUGAAAGAAUUUCACCUGCAUUUCGCAGCCUUCCCCAUUUAUUGUUUGUUCUCCUUCUCUUAACUGAACUGCCUUGAAUAUUGGGUUAACGAGCCUCAGUGAAAUUUCUCUUCUUUCCUGUAUCCUGAUAAUAUAUACAAGUAACAUGUGGCUUAAGGUCUAGAAAAAGUUUUUAAUUAAAACCAAGUGCUAGAAUUAUACUGUCUUCGGGUUUCCUCAUGUUUCCUGACUUUUUUGUGUCCAGUUCACAGCAAAAAAAAAUUGUUGAGAGCACAUAUUUUAUUGUUACUGGUAUCUUGUAAACAUUCAUACACAAGCUAUUUUUUUUUUUUUUGCUUAUUGCAAGAGUGCUGGAUGUGCAAUUUUAGGGUAUUAACUGUAGGAACGGGAAAUUUUUAUACUUUUAAAGAUACCUCUGAUUAUGAAAUUACUGUUGAAGUACAGUAAAAUAAAUACUAUGCUCAUUGUCUUUUG